rnacentral:lncRNA from 1 species
CACCCUCCCUGCUGCUUGCACUCUGCCUCUGACUCUCUUCCAAGAACAAUUUGGCAAGUUCCAAUCCACACCCUACAAAAAAAAAAAAAAAACACCCCAGAAUGGUAGGGAGGGCCACAGCCUGGGGGCCCAGUAGGCAGAAUGACCUAUUUUUAUGUGGUGUGAAAUAACACAAACACCUCUGUGCGCAGACUUGAAAAUCUUUGGAGUGGGAUCCCUGGGGAGGGGGGCAGUAGCUGGGAGGUAAAGCGUGCAGGACACCUGAGAUCACUGUCCGAGGCCAGGGGAUUCAGCAUUCCCUUCUGGGAAAAGGCACAACUGGUCAACUUUCCCAUAUAACCAAGUUAUACAGUUCUGUAUCCAACCAAAUGACAGACCUCAGUCACCUGUCUGCCAGCACAGAGCACUGGUCCAGAAGGAAGACACACACUAGACAGCAAUCCGUGCCUGGAUUCUGGAGUCUUCUUCCCUGGCCCUGCAGUGCUAGUCCAGAGAGGGGGGAGGGGCUCAUCCAUGUGGGUGGGGGGUGGGAGGGGGAGUGGAGUCCUCAACCGGAGCCCGGACCUGGCCAGAUUAGGCCGUCCUGGGCAGAUUCGCAGAGUCCAUUUUUGCCCGGAGGGUCUUGAACACUUCCAGAUGGACAGCCACUCCGGUUGGGGAUUGUCACAGCUGAGGGAACCCAGGACUCCCUCACACGAGGCCAAGUUCUGCCUCCUCUCACGUGCACCUGAUGGGUCUAAGCCCUUUCCCCUGCAGCACAGAGUGAGCCGGGCUUGGAGCUGGGCGGGCCCGGGCUGGACUUUGGCUUUGCCCCUCGGAGCACAAACUCGGGCCAGUCCCACCGAGCCACAGUGCCCCCAUCUGUAAAAUCAGGAGACCAUCAGGUAGUGCCGUGAGUCCUGAACGAGUUGAUCUAUGUGACAUCGUCCGCCCCGUGUUUGGUAAUAGCAUGCGCUCGAUGUAUUAACUGCUUUAUUUAGUUAUGAAUCAUAAUAUUGCCAUCAUUUUGAUCACCAGUUCCUUUGACUAUUCGUUAUGUGUCUUGUUUCCAGACCGCGAGACCCUCCCCAGAGCACAGGCUAGCUAGCGUAUGCCCUGAAGGGCCAGCCAGGCUCCCGAUGUGGUCGCAUCGUGCCAGGCGAUCCUCUCCCUGCCCCCGGACGUCAGCCCUCCCCUGCAGAAGGAAGCCAGGCCACAUGGCGUGCCAGAGAGAGCUUUGGUGACAGACAGCCUAGGCCGGGUUCCUAGCCCCUCCAUUUCGCAGCCGUGUGACCUCAACCAGUCACAAACAUUUCAGAGAAUCUAUAAAGUGUGAACAUCCUGCCCACCUCAGAAAUGAGACUGGGUUGUCCGGGGGAAAGAUGAGCGGGCGCUGAGAGUCUGGCAAAGAAGGGAAAACUAUUUUCUAGAAUGCCCUAGAGUUGAUAACAUGAUUACUAUGAGAAACACCCGAAUCUCCCCCAUUAUACUUCCUCAUACUUAUUUUUAGAGUUCAAGGUUUUAUUUUUAAGAAUGAAUGUGGGGAGGUACCCACCAUCUUUUGUGUUCCUGGGGCCCCGGAGGGUCUUCAUCCGGUCAAGCUCUGAAAUUGCUGUCAGCCUUGUAAUUCCCUGACCCGUGAGUGUUCCCACAAAUGGUGCUCAUUAGCUGCCUUAAACUUGCGGUGUGACCGGAGAUGGUGUAGCCUCCGCGAUCACUGAGUUGACAAUGUGGAGCUUGAUCUCAGCGAUAAGCCCCAGGUCUUUUCAAAGACCUGGGGGGACACAGGGCAAAGGCAGGUGCAGAAGUGCCCCGGGGGCAGCCAGGGGGGUGACUGGACCCCCGAGUCCCUCAGGACCUGCACCUGCCAAUUCUGCAGCCCUAAACUACUCACAGACUCUAGACGGACUCUGAAGAUUUGGAGGGGGUGGCGGGGUGAAGGCGUUCCAGGCACUCUUACCUUAGAACGAGACAUAGUCCUUGUCCACUAGGAACCCUCUCAGAUAAAGACACACAAAGCACGUAGAGAGGACGGUGAGCAGCAGCGACCUCGGGGAGAAUUAGCCUGCAUCUGUGUUUAUUUGGCCAACAGCACUUUUCCAAAGACUGAAUUGCAGUGUCUUUGGGAGGACACUGUGGGUGACCCCUGGCCCCUAUGAGCCACUAUGGACACCAUCCACGUGGCCUCCACAGUUUUGUUUUUUUUUUUUUUUUUUAAGUAGCCUUCACACUCAACAUGGAGCCCCAUGCAGGGCUUGAACCCACGACAUGCGUAAGGUUCAGGUCCUGCCGCGGGCGUACUGACCCAGGAGCAGGGGGAGGUGGGAGGAGGAAAGGGGGAAGGGGUCCGGGGGGAGGGGAGGAGCUAAGCUGGACCAAACAGCUGUCACCUCCUCCCUCUGACCAAGGACCGAGUCCCUUCGGCCCUACAAACGCUCCAGCUCUCUGACACAAAGGAAAGCACUUCGGAGCCACUAGGAAACAAAUGGUGUUUUAUUCCCUUUUGUUGUGGAGAGGAUCGAUCACAGCACGGAGGACAGCGGCCCGGUCACGGCGGCACGUCUGGUUGGAUGCCACGAGAACACGAUGGAUGGGAGGGGCGGGGUCUGCUUGGAUUUUCCAUUCUGUAUGACCUUCGACCUCUUGGCAGUUCCCUCCGCAGCAGGGCUGUGCCCACCUGCCCCGGGUCUCUAAGCCACGUGUAGCCGCUGCACUUGCCGCUCUAACCAGUAACAGGUGGAGCAAAGGGCUUGGGAGCCAUCGCUGCUCCCUGACCAACGGGAUGCGGGCAGAGAAGCACAGGACGCCUCCUCUCCCUGCUGCUUUGCUGGCCCCCGCAGAAUGGAGCCCCUCAGCCACUGCCUACCAGAGACCUAAUUCAGGGACAGGAGUCUGAGUCCAGAAGAGCCGGGCUGUGGCUGGGAGUCUGGGAAGCAGGGAAGGUAGGAGAGAGGAGCAGGGUUCCAGAGCCCAUGGGGUUAUUGCUGAGAAGAUAUGCAGGGGGCACGUUCCCCAGGGGCAGACUAGAAGCCCGGGGCCCGGGAUCCCGGGCUGCUCUGCGACGGUGCAGGGCAGAUGAGGACCCCGGGGUGGAAGCCCCAAGAGGGAAAGGACCGUGGAAGGGGCACAGCCUGCCUGGAGGCAAAGCUGGGCUCACCA